UUUUUAUGGAGAGUUUGAUCCUGGCUCAGGAUGAACGCUGGCGGCGUGCCUAAUACAUGCAAGUCGAGCGAACAGACGAGGAGCUUGCUCCUCUGACGUUAGCGGCGGACGGGUGAGUAACACGUGGAUAACCUACCUAUAAGACUGGGAUAACUUCGGGAAACCGGAGCUAAUACCGGAUAAUAUAUUGAACCGCAUGGUUCAAUAGUGAAAGACGGUUUUGCUGUCACUUAUAGUUGGAUCCGCGCCGCAUUAGCUAGUUGGUAAGGUAACGGCUUACCAAGGCAACGAUGCGUAGCCGACCUGAGAGGGUGAUCGGCCACACU
rnacentral:rRNA from 1 species